AUUGAACGCUAGCGGGAGGCCUAACACAUGCAAGUCGAACGAGUGGCGGACGGGUGAGUAAUCUCUCGGAAACUGCCUAAUUGCGGGGGAUAACUACUCGAAACCGUGGCUAAUACCGCAUACCAUCUGAUCCGCCGAUAUGGGAUUAGCUUGUUGGUGGGGUAAUGGCUCACCAAGGCAACGAUCCAUAGCUGGUCUGAGAGGACGACCAGCCACACUGGAACUGAGAGACGGCCCAGACUCCUACGGGAGGCAGCAGUGGGGAAUAUUGCACAAUGGGGGAAAGCCUGAUGCAGCCAUGCAGCGUGUAUGAAGAAGGCCUUCGGGUUGUAAAGUACUUUCAGCAGGGAGGCGGUAACUGCAGAAGAAGCACCGGCUAACUGCGUGCCAGCCGCCGCGGUAAUAC
rnacentral:rRNA from 1 species